rnacentral:lncRNA from 1 species
UCUCAAUCAUCGCACAAUUACAAUUUCCAAUACAGUUACCAUGUGUGUCUGUGCAAUUGUUCAUCCUAUAAUAACCAAUCAUAUAAGCCAACCAGGCUACAAUUAUAUAAGUCGAUAAUGUUUCAAAAAUUUUCAAUCUCUUUAAUAACAAGUUAGGGCAAGCCAUUGCUUACCUAAGAAGCGAAAUUUUGACGAUAAUUGUGGAAUUACACUGUUGAGAAUGAUCUCGUCACAACUCA